UAGGGAAUCUUCGGCAAUGGACGAAAGUCUGACCGAGCAACGCCGCGUGAGUGAAGAAGGUUUUCGGAUCGUAAAACUCUGUUGUUAGAGAAGAACAAGGACGUUAGUAACUGAACGUCCCCUGACGGUAUCUAACCAGAAAGCCACGGCUAACUACGUGCCAGCAGCCGCGGUAAUACGUAGGUGGCAAGCGUUGUCCGGAUUUAUUGGGCGUAAAGCGAGCGCAGGCGGUUUCUUAAGUCUGAUGUGAAAGCCCCCGGCUCAACCGGGGAGGGUCAUUGGAAACUGGGUGACUUGAGUGCAGAGGAAGAGGGUGGAAUUCCAUGUGUAGCAGUGAAAUGCGUAGGUAUAUGGAGGAACACCAGUGGCGAAGGCGGCUCUCUGGUCUGUAACUGACGCUGAGGCUCGAAAGCGUGGGGAGCAAACAGG
rnacentral:rRNA from 1 species